CUAUUCUGCAAAGACUGCCUCUGCAAAGUGAUACCUCCCUCUGUUGUCUACUUUUGGGUUGAAAGUCUCAAUCACUUGGUCAGAUGUCACCCAAGCUUUAUCUUCCAUCACAGCUGUUGACUGAUGCUCAGAGGACUGGUGUUCGGGACUUUCAGCAGAUGUGAUUUCCGAGAGCAGAAAUGUAUGGACACCGGACUGUUCUGCCUCGGAGUAGAUUUUGUGACGCACUUUUCCCCAGGAGACUGGCUCCAUGUGAUGUACUGAUUGAGUGCCUGGAACAGCUGAGAAGCUACAAAUGAAGCAGCAUCUGUCACAAGGACUGCCUGUCUGCAGAGGACAUCAGUGUUAACUGCACGCUUCACUGUUGCUCCUACACCGUCCACUGCACCUUUGCCGUGGCUUGUGGCAAAGAAGUGCCACUGUACUCUUAAAGCUGGAAACAGCUCCUUGAAUGUAGUUGACAUGAAACACCAGAUGAACUUGUUCUUAAACUGAGAAGCAGCUCCAUCACUAAAUAUGUUAAUCUCUUUCAUUGCAGGAUGUUUCAUUUUAAUGUCCUCCACAAUCUUGGAGAGGAAGGUUGCCACAGACCUCUUGUCGUGUUCCAGGCUGUCACUCACUAUGGCAUAUGACUCAGGAUCUCCAUCAGACCACAGGACUGAGGAAAACACUGUGACCUGCUUCUGAUGCCAGUGUGCUGACUGGAUCUGGUCUUGGUAGGCAGCGGUGUAAUUUUCGGCAAAAUCUACCUGCAGCACCACAGUUUCCUGGUCUGUUUUUGCCUGCAGUUUUUUGGCCUGGAAAAAUCCACUUUGCUGUUUUUUAACAAAACAGUGAUGCACAAAUUUUGU